rnacentral:rRNA from 1 species
AACGAACGCUGGCGGCAGGCUUAACACAUGCAAGUCGAACGCAUCCUUCGGGGUGAGUGGCAGACGGGUGAGUAACGCGUGGGAACGUGCCCUUCAGUUCGGGAUAACCCAGGGAAGCUUGGGCUAAUACCGGAUACGUGCGAGAGCAGAAAGAUUUAUCGCUGAAGGAUCGGCCGGCGUCUGAUUAGCUAGUUGGUGGGGUAAUGGCCCACCAAGGCGACGAUCAGUAGCUGGUCUGAGAGGAUGAUCAGCCACAUUGGGACUGAGGACACGGCCCAAACUCCUACGGGAGGCAGCAGUGGGGAAUAUCGGACAAUGGGCGCAAGCCUGAUCCAGCCAUGCCGCGUGAGUGAUGAAGGCCUUAGGGUUGUAAAGCUCUUUCGUCCGGGACGAUAAUGACGGUACCGGAAGAAGAAGCCCCGGCUAACUUCGUGCCAGCCGCCGCCGUAA